rnacentral:lncRNA from 1 species
CUUAGCCUAAAAUUAGAUUUGGAGGUCUAAAAAACUCAGAUAAGAAAACAGCUGAAAACUUCUGCAGAAAACAAGGUUUUACUGAUCUUUGGGUUGAUUUUUCAAAGUUCCCAACUUCUUGAACCCUUCCUGAAUCAUUUUGGUUUGAAAUAAGUUGAAUUCCGGGUAUUUUUAGAGUUGAUUCGAGUUUAAUAUUGGAAAAUCAAUGUUAAAUUGCUGUUGAGCUGCUACUUGCUGCUGACACACUGUUUCUUUCUAUAUUUCGCUCUCUAGCUAUUAUCCCUUUCUUGGAUAUGUAGAUUGGAAGAACAAAAGACCUAAUUUGCUUGAAUAACCAAAUUGGCUGCAUUAGUUUGGACAUAUGUAGUUCCUUCUAUUUUUGAAGAUUAACUAGAUCCUGUAACUAGCUCAGUUUUUUUUGUCGUGUUUAUUCUUUCUUUAUUCAUAUUGAGUUUGUUGUAAGUUUGAAUGAGCUGUGUGUUUGUCCAGUUAUGGUGUAAGUAAGUUCAUGUUAUUUUUUUUUGUAUAAAAGGACUUUGGGUUUGUUAUGGGAACUUGACCAAGACCUGUAGGUUUGAGGGUAUUUAUUCAUGUUAUCAGCCACAAUCAGUGUUGCUUUAGCAUCAGUUCAUCUUUGAAUGUAUUAAG